rnacentral:rRNA from 1 species
CCCUAUGGGGUGCAGCAGGCAGGGGUAGAGUUCUAAGCGGCCGCUUUCAACUACUGAGGCUGCGAGCUCAAGGAAAGCAUCUUGAUCAAGCUCUAAAGUAUCUGUGAGUAGCAUUUCCAUGGAGACAAGUGUUUGCUCUUGGAGCGUUGGCCAGAGAUCUUUCCCGUACGCCGCCAUGGGAGAAAAUUGCCAGUAACCGAGUGCCUGACCAUUUGAAGCGCUCACGCAGAAGGCGUACUCGUCGGGGUACUGAAAAAUUUGUUUGAGUUGAGGGAGCGAGGCGGCAUUUUUCUGCGACAGUAAGGAGAGGGCGACAUUCAUCUGAAAUGAAUUGGCGGGGGGGC